UACGUAGGGGGCAAGCGUUGUCCGGAAUCAUUGGGCGUAAAGAGCGUGUAGGCGGCUCGGUAAGUCCGCUCUGAAAGCCCGGGGCUCAACCCCGGGAGGCGGGCGGAUACUGUCGGGCUAGAGUCCGGGAAGAGGCGAGGUGGAAUUCCUGGUGUAGCGGUGAAAUGCGCAGAUAUCAGGAGGAACACCAAUGGCGAAGGCAGCUCGCUGGGACGGUACUGACGCUGAGACGCGAAAGCGUGGGGGAGCAAACAGG
rnacentral:rRNA from 1 species